rnacentral:rRNA from 1 species
UACGGAGGGGGCUAGCGUUGUUCGGAAUUACUGGGCGUAAAGCGCACGUAGGCGGCUUUGUAAGUUAGAGGUGAAAGCCCAGGGCUCAACCCUGGAAUUGCCUUUAAGACUGCAUCGCUUGAACAUCGGAGAGGUAAGUGGAAUUCCGAGUGUAGAGGUGAAAUUCGUAGAUAUUCGGAAGAACACCAGUGGCGAAGGCGACUUACUGGACGAUUGUUGACGCUGAGGCGCGAAAGCCAGGGGAGCAAACGGG